rnacentral:rRNA from 1 species
GGAUGAACGCUAGCUACAGGCUUAACACAUGCAAGUCGAGGGGCAGCAUUUCAGUUUGCUUGCAAACUGGAGAUGGCGACCGGCGCACGGGUGAGUAACACGUAUCCAACCUGCCGAUAACUCGGGGAUAGCCUUUCGAAAGAAAGAUUAAUACCCGAUGGUAUAAUCAGACCGCAUGGUCUUGUUAUUAAAGAAUUUCGGUUAUCGAUGGGGAUGCGUUCCAUUAGGCAGUUGGUGAGGUAACGGCUCACCAAACCUUCGAUGGAUAGGGGUUCUGAGAGGAAGGUCCCCCACAUUGGAACUGAGACACGGUCCAAACUCCUACGGGAGGCAGCAGUGAGGAAUAUUGGUCAAUGGGCGCAGGCCUGAACCAGCCAAGUAGCGUGAAGGAUGACUGCCCUAUGGGUUGUAAACUUCUUUUAUAUGGGAAUAAAGUUUUCCACGUGUGGAAUUUUGUAUGUACCAUAUGAAUAAGGAUCGGCUAACUCCGUGCCAGCAGCCGCGGUAAUACGGAGGAUCCGAGCGUUAUCCGGAUUUAUUGGGUUUAAAGGGAGCGUAGGUGGACAGUUAAGUCAGUUGUGAAAGUUUGCGGCUCAACCGUAAAAUUGCAGUUGAUACUGGCUGUCUUGAGUACAGUAGAGGUGGGCGGAAUUCGUGGUGUAGCGGUGAAAUGCUUAGAUAUCACGAAGAACUCCGAUUGCGAAGGCAGCUCACUGGACUGCAACUGACACUGACGCUCGAAAGUGUGGGUAUCAAACAGGAUUAGAUACCCUGGUAGUCCACACAGUAAACGAUGAAUACUCGCUGUUUGCGAUAUACAGUAAGCGGCCAAGCGAAAGCAUUAAGUAUUCCACCUGGGGAGUACGCCGGCAACGGUGAAACUCAAAGGAAUUGACGGGGGCCCGCACAAGCGGAGGAACAUGUGGUUUAAUUCGAUGAUACGCGAGGAACCUUACCCGGGCUUAAAUUGCAUUUGAAUAUAUUGGAAACAGUAUAGCCGUAAGGCAAAUGUGAAGGUGCUGCAUGGUUGUCGUCAGCUCGUGCCGUGAGGUGUCGGCUUAAGUGCCAUAACGAGCGCAACCCUUAUCUUUAGUUACUAACAGGUCAUGCUGAGGACUCUAGAGAGACUGCCGUCGUAAGAUGUGAGGAAGGUGGGGAUGACGUCAAAUCAGCACGGCCCUUACGUCCGGGGCUACACACGUGUUACAAUGGGGGGUACAGAAGGCAGCUACCUGGUGACAGGAUGCUAAUCCCAAAAGCCUCUCUCAGUUCGGAUCGAAGUCUGCAACCCGACUUCGUGAAGCUGGAUUCGCUAGUAAUCGCGCAUCAGCCAUGGCGCGGUGAAUACGUUCCCGGGCCUUGUACACACCGCCCGUCAAGCCAUGAAAGCCGGGGGUACCUGAAGUACGUAACCGCAAGGAGCGUCCUAGGGUAAAACUGGUAA